AUUGAACGCUGGCGGCAGGCCUAACAAAUGCAAGUCGAGCGAGCGGCGGACGGGUGGGUAAUGUAUGGGGAUCUGCCUGAUGGCGGGGGCUAACUACUGGAAACGGUAGCUAAUACCGCAUAACACCAGAUGAACCCAUAUGGGAUUAGCUAGUAGGGGAGGUAACGGCUUACCUAGGCGACGAUCCCUAGCUGGUCUGAGAGGAUGAUCGGCCACACUGUGACUGAGACACGGCCCAGACUCCUACGGGAGGCAGCAGUGGGUACGAUAGGCUAAGGGGCGCAAGCCUGAGGCAGCCAGGCCGCGUGUAUGAAGAAGGGCUUCGGGUUGGAAAGUACUUUCAGUCGGGAGGCGUUACCGACAGAAGAAGCACCGGCUAACUCCGUGCCAGCAGCCGCGGUAAUUC
rnacentral:rRNA from 1 species